UACGAAGGGGGCUAGCGUUGCUCGGAAUUACUGGGCGUAAAGCGCACGUAGGCGGUCUUUUAAGUCGGGGGUGAAAUCCUGGAGCUCAACUCCAGAACUGCCUUCGAUACUGGAAGACUUGAGUCCGGGAGAGGUGAGUGGAACUGCGAGUGUAGAGGUGAAAUUCGUAGAUAUUCGCAAGAACACCAGUGGCGAAGGCGGCUCACUGGCCCGGUACUGACGCUGAGGUGCGAAAGCCGUGGGGAGCAACAGGGA
rnacentral:rRNA from 1 species